UACAGAGGGUGCAAACGUUGCUCGGAAUCAUUGGGCGUAAAGCGCACGUAGGCGGCCCAGCAAGUGGGGAGUGAAAGCCCUCGGCUUAACCGAGGAAGUGCUUUCCAAACUACUGGGCUUGAAUACUGGAGAGGGUCGCGGAAUUCCCGGUGUAGAGGUGAAAUUCGUAGAUAUCGAGAGGAACACCUGUGGCGAAGGCGGCCUUCUGGACAGUGACUGACGCUGAGACGCGAAAGCGUGGGGAGCAAACAGG
rnacentral:rRNA from 1 species